rnacentral:tRNA from 1 species
GGUCGGUUAGCUCAGUUGGAUAGAGCGUGGUACUAAUACGCCAUCCGCCGUGUUGAGUAAUGCCGAGGCCGGGAGUUCAAGCCUCCCACUGAUCA